UGUUUUAAGCUUGAGUAAUUGAUGCGUACAUAAUUUCUCAUCUAUUUGCUCCCAAGUAAUUGACGCGUGCAUAAUGCCUUGACGGAGGGGAGGGGGUCUGAUUUCUUCAACCAUCAGAAAUCUGUUUCUGACAACCUUGCAGCUUUGGCAUAGAUUGCUUAUUCAGGCAAAGAUUGUGGUUCUGGUUGAGUACAGAAAUAAGGAUCUUAAUCACGUGGAGUGGGCCAAGGCUUUGAAGGAGCUCUACUUACCAGGUUUGAGGGAUUAUGUUAAGAGUUUCUAUCCACUUGGACCACUGUGGAGUUUCUGUAGCAAAGCUAUUGUCUCUGCUGCGCCUAAAUCCCCUGCACCAGCUGCUCCUGCAACACCCCCACCACCUCCUGCUCCUUUCUUCUCGGAUCUAAACCUUCCU